CAAGUAUUUGCUGGCGGAUAUCAUUAUCACUUAAUAGCAAACCCCCACAAGUGGUUGGAACCUUGAAGCCGAAAAGCAUCCCAAGCCUCUGCCACAACCUCUCUACUCAGAAAAUAAGUCCUCUAAAAUAAACCAAAAGGAAAGAAACCAGAGGAGAAGGUGAGUUAUUAAAGUCCUAUGCCAAAAUAACAUAUAUCUUGAAAUUACUAUCUGGUGGUUUUGAUGUUUGGUAGUUUACUUUGUUAGAAAGCCUAUGGUACACAGAUACACUACUACACC
rnacentral:lncRNA from 1 species